rnacentral:rRNA from 1 species
AUUGAACGCUGGCGGCAGGCCUAACACAUGCAAGUCGAACGAGUGGCGGACGGGUGUGUAAUGUCUGGGAAACUGCUUGAUGGAGGGGGAUAACUACUGGAAACGGUAGCUAAUACCGCAUACCAUCAGAUGUGCCUAGAGGGGCUUAGCUAGUUGGUGGGGUAACGGCUCACCAAGGCGACGAUCCCUAGCUGGUCUGAGAGGAUGACCGGCCACACUGGAACUGAGACACGGUCCAGACGCCUACGGGAGGCAGCAGUGGGGAAUAUUGCACAAUGGGCGAAAGCCUGAUGCAGCCAUGCCGCGUGUAUGAAGAAGGCCUUCGGGUUGUAAAGUACUGUCAUCGGGGAGGCGGUACCCACAGAAGAAGCCCCGGCUAACUCCGUGCCAGCCGCCGCGGUAAUAC